rnacentral:lncRNA from 1 species
AUAGCAUCUGCCCUGUGACACAGAAACCCCAUCUGCUGUGGUUAGGAUGUGAGGCUUCCCCCAAAAUCUCAUGUGUGAAUCUAUGCAAGAAGGUCCAGAGGUGAAGUGAUAGGAUUCUGAGAGCCUUAACCUAGUCAGUGCAUUAAUCCCCUGAUAAGGAUUAACUGGGUGUGGUUGGAGGGGUGGGUCCCUGGAGGCAUGCCAUUGAGUUUUAUAUCUGUGAGCUGAGUUUAGCUCUCUGUCUGCUUCCUGAUCAUCAUGUUCUGAGCUGCUUUCCUGCACUGUACACUUCUGCCAUAAUGUUCUACCUCAUCUGAGGCCCAGAGCAAUGGAGUCAGCAUUAUAUGGACUGAGACCUCUGAAACUAUGAGCCCCCAAAUAAACAUUUUCUCCUAAAAUUGUUCUUAUCAGGCCUUUUUUUUUGUCACAGCAGUUAAAAAGCUGACUAAAACAGAAUUGGAACUGGGAGUGGGGCUGUUGCUGUGACUCACCUGACCAGGUGGUUCAGAAGUUUUUGAAGCUUUGGAAUUUGUGGGAGGAAUUUUGUAAAGUUUAGAGGUACAAACUGGUGAUUCUGCUGAGAGUUCAGAAGACCAGCAUGUGGAUAGGACUGUGGACAGUAAAGAGGUUUCAGAGGAAAAGGAGGACUCUUGUGAAAAUCGGACUAGAGGUCAUUUCUGGUUUAGAAGUUGACUGCAUUUUACCCAUGUCCUGAGACUUUCUGUGAGACUGAAUUUAAAGGCAAUGGACUUCUUAAUCUGGUAGAAGAAAUUUAAGCAGCAGAGUAUUCAGGCUGUGGCACGGGUACUAGUGGUAGCUCUUAGCCAAACUUAUUGUGGUAUUCAGGACCAGAAAGCAGAGCAGAAAGAUUUGAAAUACUGGGACUUGAAAGGUGGGAGUAAAACUGGGGCUAAGAAAAUUGCAGCUGUUAAAGACAUUACCACUAUUGGGGCUGGGAUUGUGGCUCAGUGGUAGAGCACUCGCCUAGCACAUGUGAGGCCCUGGGUUCGAUCCUCAGCACCAC